GAUCAUUACAGAGUUACCUAACUCCAAACCCAUGUGAACUUACCUAUGUUGCCUCGGCGGGGAAGCCUACCCGGUACCUACCCUGUAGCUACCCGGGAGCGAGCUACCCUGUAGCCCGCUGCAGGCCUACCCGCCGGUGGACACUUAAACUCUUGUUUUUUUUAGUGAUUAUCUGAGUGUUUAUACUUAAUAAGUUAAAACUUUCAACAACGGAUCUCUUGGUUCUGGCAUCGAUGAAGAACGCAGCGAAAUGCGAUAAGUAAUGUGAAUUGCAGAAUUCAGUGAAUCAUCGAAUCUUUGAACGCACAUUGCGCCCAUUAGUAUUCUAGUGGGCAUGCCUGUUCGAGCGUCAUUUCGACCUUCAAGCCCUAGCUGCUUGGUGUUGGGAGCCUAUCUCCGGAUAGCUCCUGAAAAGCAUUGGCGGAGUCGCGGUGACCCCAAGCGUAGUAAUUCUUCUCGCUUUAGGUGUGUCACGGCUGACGUCUUGCCGUUAAACCCCCAAUUU
rnacentral:rRNA from 1 species